rnacentral:lncRNA from 1 species
CGUUUGCCCCCUCCAGCGGCAGGAUGUGAGCCACCGGCAAGGAGGGACGCCAAUAAGGCGUCCGAUAAGCUCCUGCCUUUAGGAUCCUGCCUUGAGUUCCUGCCCUGGCUUCCUUCCAUGAUAGACUGUGAUAAUAGAUAUACAAAGAAAAGAGUCCACAUGGUGGUGUGAGCCAUUCCUGUACUACACACCUUCAUUUACAGUAAGUGCUGUGGGGUUGGCCUGAUGGCUCCGUCAGUAAAGUCAGAUGACCUGAGGAUCUCCAGGAGCCACAUCGUGGAAGAAGAGAACUGACUCCCACAAGUUUUCUGCUGACCUCUGCAGGACUGGGCCAGCCCCACCUGUAACCUUAACUCCUGUCUGUACUGCCUAUUCCAGGAAUGGCAAUCAUGCCUUUGUUUCAAAAAGAUGCUUAGGGGACACUCUCAUGUAUACAUGCAGACAAAACACCAAUGCAAGUAAAACAAAAAUAAAGUUAUUAGGAGAUUUCAAAAAGUUGUUUAUAACCAUCUUUCAACUCUGUCUUUGUUUCAAAAGGUUGUUAUGACUAUGUAUUGCUAUGACUGCCUUGUUAGGACCACCUUGCAAUCAUGCCUUUGUCUCAGAAGGUCACUAUGACUGACUUGUUAUGCUUAUGUUCUGCUCCUGUAACCACACAUAGUUCUUCCCAUUUGGAAACCCCCUACCCUGAGCUAUAAAAACAUUGUCUUUCUCAUGUCCAAUAUUGACCUCUGGAAUCCCGCCUUAGGGGGAGGCAGCCUGAGUACACAAAUAAAAAAGUUUGCUGUAAUUAAUUUGGCUGUGAUGAUUUGAGUCGGUGAUCUUUCUCCUCAAAUAUUUGGGAUUAAUCUUACCCAUACUCAUACUCACAUGCCCACACACAUACACUUAAUUUGAAAAUGAAGUAAAUCUUAAAACAACGUUUUAAAAAGAUGAAUGCUGUCAUCCCACCCUACCAGGGGGAUAGAAGCCAGGAGGAACUGGGAAGCCUUUCCUGAAGGCUAGCCUAAAAUCUGAA